UGCCAGCAGCCGCGGUAAUACGAAGGGUGCUAGCGUUGUUCGGAAUUACUGGGCGUAAAGCGCACGUAGGCGGAUCAGAAAGUUAGGGGUGAAAUCCCGGGGCUCAACCCCGGAACUGCCUCUAAAACUCCUGGUCUAGAGUUCGAGAGAGGUGAGUGGAAUUCCGAGUGUAGAGGUGAAAUUCGUAGAUAUUCGGAGGAACACCAGUGGCGAAGGCGGCUCACUGGCUCGAUACUGACGCUGAGGUGCGAAAGCGUGGGGAGCAAACAGGAUUAGAUA
rnacentral:rRNA from 1 species